CUCUGCUACUGACCAGGCUCUAGUCUUACCAUUUUCAUAACAGGUUCAUUUCCUGCUUUAGUUUCAAGUGGGAUACUGGACCAAAGUGAAACAAUGUUAUACAUUUUAAUAUACUUUUUAACUGUAUUUAAAAUUGUAGUUACUUUCUUUUAUUUUUACAUUUGCUGGUAUAUUAUCAUCAUCUUUUAAUUCAACACUUAUCAUAGCUGUAAUGAACACCGGGACCAAGGGAUUUGGCACAAAGAAAACGAGAGAGGCAGGCAGGCAGGUACGGUAACCGGGUGAUCAGUCCGAGAAGGCGACGGUACAGGUAAGGGCUGGCAGGCAGGAUAGUCCACAGGGCAGGCAGGAUAGUCCACGGGGCAGGCAGGCAGGAUAGUCCACGGGGCAGGCAGGAUAGUCCACAGGGCUGGCAGGCAGGAUAGUCCACGGGGCCGGCAGGCAGGAUAGUCCACGGGGCUGGCAGGCAGGAUAGUCCACGGGGCAGGCAGGAUAGUCCACGGGGCAGGCAGGAUAGUCCACAGGGCAGGCAGGAUAGUCCACGGGGCUGGCAGGUAGGUCAAGAGGCAGGCUUCUAAACACGGAGACAGAUGGGGACAGGGCAGGAGAAAACAACAGGCUGGGAAUGAACGAUAAGCAAGAGCGCAAUACAAAGGCUUGGCAGGUCCACUACGAACAAU
ensembl:lncRNA